GACUGAGACAAAACUUGACAGUUAUGCUUGAAAUAACUUGCAAUUGGAGGGGAAAAAAUUGCAUUAAGUUUAUUUGACAUUUAGGUGUUCUUUAGGGAAACUAAAUGUGCACUCGUGACCCUAUUGUACUUUCAUUUUUAAAAGUUAUUAAUAAACCAGUUCAUACAUUGUAAACAUGGACUAUUCGGAAUGGAUUUAGACACAGAAAGUACGUUUGAGGUAAAAUUGCAUUGAAAUGGGGGUUUACGGGUGUUUUCUUAGUCAAAUGGGUGGACAGACAAAGCUGUAUUUAGAUUACUGUGUUAAAUUUUAAAUUACCCUUACAGUUUUUGUUUUGUUUAUACAACAUGUGAAUUUUUUAUUUCAGUGUUAACCAUGUUCUGAAGAGCAUUCUGUUGAAAAAUCUUAUAUGUGAAUUGGUCUGCAGAUGACACUUCAGCAUUAAAGUAUGUAUCAACUAUCAUCAUGUUUUUUUUUUUUUUUUUGGCCGCAAAAGUUUACAAUUUGCCAUUGUGCCGUCUACAUUUUGCACAGACAAUAACUCAUCUAAACACUUAUUUGCCCUGGAUUUAUACACAUCAGAAUCCAGUCUCACAUACUUAAACUUUAUAAUUCUUACCAAUUAUUUUUUGUACCAGC
rnacentral:lncRNA from 1 species